GCGGAUGUCGUAUAACGGCUAUUAUUCCCGGCUUCCAUCCAGGAGAUGUGGGUUCGAUUCCCGCCAUCCGCU
rnacentral:tRNA from 1 species